AUUCAGAGAUCAACAUUAAAAUAGCAAUCAAACGCUUUCGUACCACUCCCUGUGGGCUUUGAAAACAUAUUUUGAAAUGCCUUGAAUCUGCAGAUCAAAGAACAAAUCUAACCCAUACAACACCACAAAUUAGCUUAGCCUGGGCAGACUUCUCCACCACAAGGCUAAUCUCUCUCCCAGGCAGAAGCGACUGCAGACUCCACAGGCCAGCCUGAGGGCACUGGUGACCAGUGAGACAAAAGACCAUCAUCACCAUUGUGACAGGAGUGAUCAUGGUCUUCCAUCUAUUUUUAAUCUGAGUUCUUCAAAAAUUCUGCCUGCCCUUCCCUUGAUGUAACUUGACAUCCCUUGAUGUCAUAUGCUGUUGACCACAAUUUUUUCUUCCAUCUAUUUUUCCCGUCACUGCAAGAUAUUCGAGCUCCACUUUCCUCGGCACAUGGCCCAGAAAUUCCAGCUGCUGUUUCCUGAUUGAUGGUAUCAGCACUCUUCUUAUUCUGGCUUUUUGCAACACUUCAUUUGUUUUUCUGUCCUUCCACGAUAUUUUCAUCAUUCCUCUCAAAAUCCACGUUUCUGCAGCUUCAAAUCUUCCCUCAUUUUGCUUUGUCCAGCAUUCGCUUCCAUAUGUUAGUGUGGAAUUAAUGUAGCUCCACAACACUCUCUGAGUUUUCUACCCAUUGAAAUUUUGUUAUUUAGUAUCUUGCUCAAAUGCUCAUUCAGCUGUCCCAAUCUUCUUAAUUUCAACAUCAGCCCUACUGUCAGAUGUUAUCAUGCUCCCUGAUUGAACUUCCAUGUUUGUUUAAUUGUUUUGCUGCCCAGUUUCAGCUUGCAUUUCUGUAUUUCUUUCUUCUUUGUGACAACCAUACAUUUGGUCUUCUUGCAGUUGAUGGUCAAUCCUCUCUUUGCAUUUUCUUCAACAACUUUAUCUAGUAUUUCUUGGACCUUCUGUUUAGUUGUAGCCAUCAGCACUGUGUCAUCUGCAUAUCACAGGGAAUCCACCAAUUAUCAUAUCUGGAAUUAUCACAAUCUGGAAUAUCUUUUGGAAUCUUCUCACUAUAAAUGUUGGGUGAGAGAACACAACCCUGUCUGCCUCCCUUCUCAAUCUGGAUAAAAUCGCUUGUCUCAUUUUUCACUCCCAUUCCCACUCUUUAUGUCCAAGUUUCUGGUGAUUCUGAUAUUCUUCCCGUCAAUGUUCAAGUGCUGAAGGAUUUUUCUAAGAUCUUCAUGUCUCAGCUUAUCAAAAGCUUUGGAAUAAUCGAUGAAACAUUGAUGUGGCAUGCCACAGAGGUCCAGAAAGACCUAUACCUAUGUUUGUGAGGCAAUAGCCCAACUACCCCAUAAACUGAAGGCCUGAAUCUGCGAACUACCUCUCUCGGUGAACUGAUCACUUCUGGCGCACCAAUGACCCUCCCGCUGGCUAUCCACACCUGCUGACUGACCUAACAACCACACACCACCAACAAACCGGUCUAGAACACUGACAAAUCCCAGCCUGCCAACUGCCCAAGGUGGUAAAGAAAGCAACGGACACAAGGUACUGGAGGAACCUAGUGGAACAGGCCGCACCUGUGGAGGGAAAUACACAGUCGAUGUUGCAGGCCGAGACCGUUCGUCAGUUGUCUCUGUUGGGAAGGAAGCGUUUCGCACAUUUGCCCUCACUGAGUACAAGAGAUGGGAUAUCAAGUCUAAGGCUGAACAUUGAUGGUUUGUUGGUGUACUUCCCCUAUGAUUACAUCUACCCUGAGCAAUACUCCUACAUGCUGGAGCUGAAGAGAAUCCUCGAUGCCAAGGGUCAUGGUGUUUUGGAAAUGCCGUCGGGUACAGGGAAGACCAUAUCACUGCUUUCACUGAUUGUAGCUUAUCAGAUGACGUAUCCUGCUGAAGUGACAAAGCUGAUCUAUUGUUCACGGACAGUUCCUGAGAUCGAAAAGGUUAUUGAGGAACUUCGCAAGUUGCUAGAGUAUUAUGAGAAACAAACUGGUGAAAAGAAACAGUUUCUGGCACUGGCGCUCAGCUCCAGGAAGAAUCUCUGCAUCCAUCCAGAGGUCAGUGCCCAGCGUUUUGGGAAGGAAGUGGACGGGAAGUGUCACAGUCUGACUGCAUCACACGUCAGGGUGCAGCACUCCAGCAACCCCAGCGUGCCCAUCUGCCGUUUCUAUGAGGAGUUUGACGAUCACGGGAGACAAGAGCCCCUUUCCUCUGGCGUUUAUAAUCUAGAUGACCUGAAGGCUUAUGGGCGACAGAAGGGCUGGUGCCCCUAUUUCCUGGCUCGAUAUUCUAUCCUGCACGCAAACAUAAUUGUCUACAGCUACCACUACCUGCUGGAUCCCAAGAUCGCAGACAUGGUUUCCAAGGAGCUGUCACGGAAAUCGGUAGUGGUGUUCGAUGAAGCUCACAACAUUGAUAAUGUGUGCAUCGAUUCAAUGAGUGUCAAUAUUUCCCGUCGCACUUUGGAUCAAUGUCAGAACAACAUUGAAACGCUACAAAGGACCAUUCAGCACUUAAAGGAAACAGAUGCUGCCAAGCUGAAGGAGGAAUACCGGCAAUUGGUGGAGGGUCUGAAGGAAGCUCAUGUUGCCAGGGAAACAGAUGUCUAUUUAGCCAAUCCAGUAUUACCAGACGAAAUACUACAAGAGGCUGUCCCGGGUAGUAUCCGCACUGCUGAGCAUUUUGUUGGGUUUAUGAAGCGGUUUUUGGAGUAUCUAAAGUCUCGCCUGAGGGUACACCACGUAGUGGCAGAGAAUCCUUCCUCAUUCUUGAAGGACGUCUUUGACAAGGUCUGCAUUGAAAGGAAACCCCUCAGGUUCUGUGCUGAGCGAUUACGAUCACUGCUACGGACAUUGGAAAUUGCAGACCUCACUGACUUUUCAGCCAUCACGCUUGUCUCUAACUUUGCUACAUUGGUCAGCACCUACACCAAAGGUUUUACCAUCAUUAUGGAACCCUUUGAUGACAGAACUCCAACCAUUAUUAAUCCAGUCCUUCACUUCAGCUGCAUGGACCCAUCCAUCGCCAUAAAGCCAGUCUUUGAACGGUUUCAGUCAGUGAUUAUCACCUCAGGGACCUUGUCCCCUCUGGAUAUGUAUCCAAAAAUCCUCGAUUUCCGGCCGGUCAUUCUGGCAACAUUUACGAUGACCUUGGCAAGGACCUGCCUGUGCCCCAUGAUUGUAGGUCGAGGCAAUGAUCAGGUGACAAUAAGCUCAAAAUUUGAAACCAGGGAAGAGAUUGCUGUGAUCCGUAACUAUGGUAACCUCCUGCUGGAGAUGUCAGCUAUUGUCCCAGAUGGAAUUGUGUCAUUCUUCACCAGUUAUCACUACAUGGAGAACAUCGUGGCUUCCUGGUAUGAGCAGGGCAUUCUAGAAAACAUUCAACGAAAUAAACUUAUUUUCAUCGAAACGCAAGAUGCUGCUGAGACCAGCGUAGCUCUGGAGAAAUACCAGGAGGCAUGUGAGAAUGGGCGAGGGGCCAUUCUGCUUUCUGUUGCAAGAGGGAAAGUCUCCGAGGGAAUAGAUUUUGAAGUGGUUUGCCAUUGCCUUCUUCUGGGGAGUGUUUUUACAAGCCACGUAACCCCGUCAGUUAUCAGUACUCUUCAGAGAUUGUCUGGCGUCAGUGAUCGCAUAACCGGAACCUGUCACAUGCACCAGUUACUCAUAUGACCAUCCACCUCCUGCUCCCAUGGUUUCAUGUAACUCUGAUUGGGGGGCUAAGCAGGGAGGGAGCAUCUUACACCUCCUUUGGUAGAGACAAAUCUCAACCCCUCCACUUUAUAACUGUUGGAUUUAAUUGGAUAUUGCUUACCUCACCGGCAGGAUAAAUCUUGGGAACGUGAAAUAUGCUCAUAGGUUCUGAUUUCACAAUCUCACACCACACCCAUUUAGACAGACUCUAUGUAUAACCCCAUUGCGGAUGUCUAAAGGAGUUCAGUUCCAGGUAGGGGCGGAGGAGAUGAGACAGGUUUUGGGCUAGGGUGGGAAAAGAUAGGUUCCAGAGAAAAGCGUAGGGUUGACCUAGCAGGGUGACAUUGUUCGGGAAUGUGGAGAAGGUGGUGUUUAGGCAGAGGGGAUGGAGGACAUUAGGUGAUGGAAGGGGGAGAGUACGGGAUGAAGGAGGAGGAUGAAGUGUAAGGAUGCUCAUGGAAAACUCUUGGAGUUUGCACUGAACUUACCACUAUUGAUGUUUAUUCUGUAUGUUUACCGACAGUCCAUCACUAUGGGAGAGCUGUCAUUAUGUUUGGUGUUCCCUACGUCUACACUCAGAGCAGGAUUCUGAAGGCUCGGCUGGAAUAUACACGGGACCAGUUCCAAAUUCGCGAGAAUGAUUUCCUGACCUUCGAUGCUAUGAGACAUGCA